rnacentral:rRNA from 1 species
AACGCGAAGAACCUUACCUGGUCUUGACAUCCUGGGAACCCUGAAGAGAUUUAGGGGUGCCGCAAGGAGCCCAGAGACAGGUGCUGCAUGGCUGUCGUCAGCUCGUGUCGUGAGAUGUUGGGUUAAGUCCCGCAACGAGCGCAACCCUUACUCAUAGUUGCUACCCGCAAGGGAGAACUCUAUGAGGACUGCUCCGGAUAACGGAGAGGAAGGUGGGGAUGAGGUCAAGUCAGCAUGGCCUUUAUGUCCAGGGCUACACACGUGUUACAAUGCGCGCCACAAAGCGUCGCGAACCCGCGAGGGGGAGCUAAUCGCAAAAAAGCGCGCUCAGUUCGGAUUGCAGUCUGCAACUCGACUGCAUGAAGCCGGAAUCGCUAGUAAUGGCGCAUCAGAACGGCGCCGUGAAUACGUUCCCGGGCCUUGUACACACCGCAUAC